GACGAACGCUGGCGGCGUGCUUAACACAUGCAAGUCGAACGGAAAGGCCCUGCUUUUGUGGGGUGCUCGAGUGGCGAACGGGUGAGUAACACGUGAGUAACCUGCCCUUGACUUUGGGAUAACUUCAGGAAACUGGGGCUAAUACCGGAUAGGAGCUCCUGCUGCAUGGUGGGGGUUGGAAAGUUUCGGCGGUUGGGGAUGGACUCGCGGCUUAUCAGCUUGUUGGUGGGGUAGUGGCUUACCAAGGCUUUGACGGGUAGCCGGCCUGAGAGGGUGACCGGCCACAUUGGGACUGAGAUACGGCCCAGACUCCUACGGGAGGCAGCAGUGGGGAAUAGUGCACAAUGGGCGGAAGCCUGAUGCAGCAACGCCGCGUGCGGGAUGACGGCCUUCGGGUUGUAAACCGCUUUCGCCUGCGACGAAGCGUGAGUGACGGUAAUGGGUAAAGAAGCACCGGCUAACUACGUG
rnacentral:rRNA from 1 species